rnacentral:misc_RNA from 1 species
GAUGAAGAACGUAGCGAAAUGCGAUAAGUAGUGUGAAUUGCAGAAUUCAGUGAAUCAUCGAAUCUUUGAACGCACAUUGCGCCACUUGGUAUUCCAUGGGGCAUGCCUGUUCGAGCGUCAUUUGUACCUUCAAGCUCUGCUUGGUGUUGGGUGUUUGUCUCGCCUCUGCGUGUAGACUCGCCUCAAAAUAAUUGGCAGCCGGCGUAUUGAUUUCGGAGCGCAGUACAUCUCGCGCUUUGCACUCAUAACGACGACGUCCAAAAGUACAUUUUUACACUCUUGACCUCGGAUCAGGUAGGGAUACCCGCUGAACUUAAGCAUAUCAAAAGCGGAGGA